rnacentral:rRNA from 1 species
CAGUAGCCGCGGGAAUACGUAGGGUGCGAGCGUUAAUCGGAAUUACUGGGCGUAAAGCGUGCGCAGGCGGUUCGUUAAGACAGAUGUGAAAUCCCCGGGCUUAACCUGGGAACUGCAUUUGUGACUGGCGAGCUCGAGUACGGUAGAGGGGGAUGGAAUUCCGCGUGUAGCAGUGAAAUGCGUAGAUAUGCGGAGGAACACCGAUGGCGAAGGCAAUCCCCUGGACCUGUACUGACGCUGAUGCACGAAAGCUAGGGGAGCAAACAGGAUUAGAUACCCGUGUAGUCCCUGUCUCUUAUAC